UACGUAGGGGGCUAGCGUUGUCCGGAAUCAUUGGGCGUAAAGAGCGUGUAGGCGGUUCGGUAAGUCCGCUGUGAAAGUCCAGGGCUCAACCCUGGAAUGCCGGUGGAUACUGUCGGGCUAGAGUCCGGAAGAGGCGAGUGGAAUUCCUGGUGUAGCGGUGAAAUGCGCAGAUAUCAGGAGGAACACCAAUGGCGAAGGCAGCUCGCUGGGACGGUACUGACGCUGAGACGCGAAAGCGUGGGUAGCAAACAGG
rnacentral:rRNA from 1 species